rnacentral:rRNA from 1 species
UACAGGGGGGGCAAGCGUUGUUCGGAAUUACUGGGCUUAAAGGGUGCGUAGGCGGCGCGGAAAGUUGGGUGUGAAAUCCCUCGGCUCAACCGAGGAACUGCGCCCAAUACUACCGUGCUUGAGGGAGAUAGAGGUGAGCGGAACUUAGGGUGGAGCGGUGAAAUGCGUUGAUAUCCUAAGGAACACCGGUGGCGAAAGCGGCUCACUGGAUCUCUUCUGACGCUGAGGCACGAAAGCUAGGGUAGCGAACGGG